ensembl:misc_RNA 7SK 7SK RNA
GGGAGGGUGGCUUAGCUGUGCUAGCUGCUGCUCCACUGACCACCACUGAUUCAACUGGUCUUACUGGUUAGGGUGCCGCAUUCCUCCCUCCCCAUGAGUUUGCUUCCCAAAGCUACACACUUGGAGGAAGAGAAAGACCUCCCCCAACAGAAGAGGACUUUCUUUGCUCAAGGAUCUCCAAGUAGCUGUGAUCCCCUGCUAGAACCUCUGAAGGGGAGUAAUAUGGCCAACAGUACCACGUGGAAGAAGAAUGAGGAACAUCUCUUCCUCUUCUU